GACCCCCCAAAUUCCUAAAACCUCUUCAUUUUUAAUCUCUCUCAUCCUCAUUCCAAAAUCUAGCCACCCUAGUUUCCUUCAAACCCUUGUGAUUGGCGGCCACACACCAAAUCCCUCCAAAAUCUUCACUCUACAACCCCCGGAUCUCCCAUAUAUCUAAUAUCCCAUCAAUUUUUCCGAAAUCCUUGCCAAAUCCCUCGAUUUUCAAAUCUGAAAAUUGUUUGAGCCCUAGCCGUUCUUUGUUGAGAUUUUUUUGGUCUUUUGAGUUUUAAAUUGUCAUCAGUCGAUUGCUUUGAUAAGAGCAAUUGACUGAUGUUAAUCUUAACUCAUUGCAUGAUCAUCCAAAUGAGGUCAAAAUGUCGCUCAAUCGUCAGUAAUUUUGUUUGAAUUUCUUCCAAGAAGGUACCCUCUAUUUUUAUUUUAUUUUAUGGUCAAUUGCAUAUCUAGGUAUUCAUUUUGUUACUUCAUAUUUUUUUGUUGGGUUUUGCAUGAUUUAAAGUUCUGUUUGCCCAUUCCCGUGCAUUACUUUUAUUUUAGUUAAUUGGAUUAUUAGUAUGUUUGAAUACUGAGUUGAUCCCUCUAUAGUCUUUAAGAAUUUUAGUUUUCGUUUUAAUGAUUUCAUUGAUGUCUUACAUUUUAGGUUAAGGGUUAAUCCAAUAAUCUGUUUUAUGAUAAGUGUAUGUGAUUUUGGGCUUUGUUUUGAAAUUAAAAAGAAAAGAAGGAUGGAGUUAAAAAUAAGGGGUGUAGAAAUAUAAUUGGCAGAAAUACUAGAAGGGUUAAAAGAAAUAGGAAUUUUAGGGAAUCAUUCUGUUAGUUUGGCUGGGAUGUUCUAGAACCUAGUGGUAGGGACAAAAAACAUUAAAAUAAGUUAAUUAGGUCACAGUUUGGAGGGUAGAAAGGGAUAAAAUUAGAAGAAGAAGGGUCGUAAGCAAGAAGAGAAUGUUUGAAUAAACACAACAGUCAAAAAUUGGUUAGCAAAGAUGCCAAUUCCCUGAUUUUUAGGGAGCUGGCAGAAUAUUCUCACACUCCUCUCUCAUUUUUUUUUGCACAAAAGCACGCUCCUACACUCUAUAUAAGAGACCUCACACUCCUUCAUACACAUACGUCAAUACUCUGAAUAUUCACUCACUCGCAAUAACACUUAAAAAGCUAAGAAUUUGGAAAAAAAUUAUUUUGAAGAAAUUUUAAAAAAAAAAAAGAAUAAGAGGUUCUCCAGCUUUUUGAGUCCCUGUUAAAAUAUUUGUGUGCACAUUGGAAGCUUGUUCUUUUCUGGCACUUUUGGUUGUGUUUUUUUCUUGCUCCAUAGCUAAUUUUUCUUUUUGGAGUUCCUAACUUCAUUAGGUACUAAUCCUUUCUCUAUAUUCAUCUUUUUCCAGGUAUUUUGCCAAUACCUUAUGAACUUAUGAAAUGAAUGAAGUUUUCAUGAUGGUAUGAUUGCUAGUAGUAAGUUGAGUUGCACUUUUUUUUUAAUGAAUUUCCCUUAUAAUGGGUUUGUAAUGUUUUAAGGCUUGAGACCUUUGCUGAUCUUUAUCCCCAUGAGCAUCCCUGAUUCAUUAUUUCUUUUUGUGCAAAUUAUUUUAGAUGAAAAUGAUCUAAAUCUAGCCUGCAUGUGGUGAUUUCCUUAUGUUUAAGUCAAAAAAAAGAGGAAAUUUAUCUAUUAGUUAUGGCUAAGUUGACAUGUAUUUUAUCUAAUGUGUAUUUAGUCCUUAGAGGAUCAGUAUCCUCAUUUUAUUGCUUUUCUUAUUGUAGAUUGCAAGGUUUUAUGCCACUUAUGAAGAAAUUGGGUUGAGUUUGUCUAGUAUAGAUUUCUUUAAUUUGAAGGUUAAGCCUUUAUUUGUAAUAUAAAACUUAAUGGAAUCUGUGAAAUUUUUAUCUAAUUAGUGAUAAUGUGAUAUUCAUGUUUAACUAAGUCUAGUUUCAAGUUAUGUAGGAAUUUAUGCAAUUUUGCUCUUAUAAAAUUUUUACGGAAAACUUUGAUGAAAUUGCAAAUGAAACGUUGAAAGGUCCUGUCCAUGAUGGAGGCCAGGACCAUGCGUUCUGGCUAGACUUUAAAAGAAGUUAGCAACGGAAUGUAACGACCCGACUAGUUGUUUUACAUUUUAGAACCCCGUCCCCCUAAAUAAAAAUUUCAGCGCUUGCUUUAACUAAUUUACGACCUGCGGGGAUGGUUGGUUCGGGAUUUGAAAGAGUUUGUGUUGAAAUAGGCUCAUUUGAUUCCUUAAGAUUUUCUUAAAAGGCUAAGUUUGACUUUGGUCAAUAUUUUUAGUAAAUGGACCCGAAUUUGUAUUUUGACGGUCUGGGUCCUGGGUGUAUGCCCGGAAUCAAAUUUCGAGGUCCCUAACAUCAGUAAUGAAUUUUUAUUAGAAAUUGUUAAACUGAAAUUCUAAGGAUUUAAAGAAAAUAACUAAUUAAUGAUCAUGUUGGUAUCGGGACCGUAUGUUGGUUCCGAAGUGCGGUACAGGUCCAAUAUAAUAUUAAGACUUGCCCGCAAAAUGUAGUAUCAAUCCGAGUAGUUUAAGUACGUUUCGGCACGUUAGAAGUAAAUUGAAGAACUUGAAGUUCAUAAGUUUGAACCAAUUGGUUUUAGGGGGUGAUUCUUAGAUUCAGCGUUGUUUUGGGCAUUCCGAAGGUUCGAGUGGGUCCGUUUCAUGAAUUCAGACUUGCCGGUAUGUUCAGGCGGGGCUCGGCAACCCCGAGAGUCAAUCGGGCGAGGCUCGGGAGAAGUUGGAAAUUUUGGGAAGGAGUUGAAGCUCCAGCUAUCUGUCAUACACCUGCAGUUGGUCAGCCGCAGGUGCGAGACCGCAGAAGCGGUCAACCUCUCGCAGAUACGGCCAAGCUUGGCCAGGCCCGAAGCAGAAGCGGAGACGCAAAUGCGGCUUGCCUCUCGCAGAUGCAGCCUAGCAGCCCGGUUGAGAUUUUGCAGAAGCGGGCAUAUUUCCGCAGAUGCAGUAGGCACAGGUGCGGCCCAGGACCGCAGACGCGGAAAUCACUAAAGCAGUGAGCUUCAUUUAAUACGGGCUCCAGCCAUUUUUGCCCAUGUUGCACUCGUGUAUUGGCGAUUUUGGAGCUCUUGAGAGAAGAUUUCCUCCUAUAAUCUUGAGGUAAGUUCAUCCCCCUUACUUCUAAGUUUAAUACUUGAGUUUUGAGUGGAUUAACACAUAAAGAUUAGGAAAAAUCAAGGGAUUAGAGCAAAACCUAUGGUUUUGAUAAGAGUUAUAUUUAACCACGAAAUUUGUUAUGAAAUGAAUAAGAAAUCAUAUAUUAUUGACCUUAGGUUACAAAGAACAACUUUCAUCGAAAAAUUUCGGAAUCCGAGCACGUGAGCCUGGGGUCGAAUUUUAAGAAACUUGUGUUUAAGGUUGGAAAAUUGCUUUAAUAGUUAGAAUGAGAUCUUGUGAGCUUGUAUUUACUCGUUCCUACCCCAUUUAACUAGUUUUGGAUCGUUCGGCUCCAAAUUGAGUGUCCUGGCUCGUUCUUGGUAUUGGAAGUACCGUUUGGAGCGAGGUAAGUCUCCUUUCUAACCUUAUAAGAGGGAAUUAUCCCCAUAAGUGUAAUAAUUGAAUAAAUUACCACUAAAUGCGGGGGCUACCUACGCACUAGGUGAUGAGUGUCCGUGCGUAGCUACUAUUAUGUUAAUUGUCCGGGUAGUUUAGGACUCGUAUCAUGCUAUAUUUGCGAAUGUUUAUAUAUUUUCUUGCCAAUGUGAUCACUUAGGAUAUACUAGAGAAUUUGCUAUGAACACAAGUGAACAUAUGUACUUGUUGAACAAUUGUAUGAAUUUUAUUUGAAUAUGAAUGAGCCUUCAUGUGCUUUCCUGAUGACAAUUGAUAUUUGUGGAUCGGGUCGAUCGCCUUGGUAGAAAUAGAUGCAUCUAUGGUUCGCGGCAUUCGACCCUCUCAAUGCACAGUUUCUUUUCUGUUGGAUCAGGCCGUCGACCUUGGCAUAAUGUGCGCAUGAUAUCUAUGUGAAAUUUUAUUCAUGACUUGGUUUGUUGAGUGUUUUGAAAUGUAAAUGGCUACCUGUAAUAUUGUUAAGGACAUGACUUAUUACUUCUUGAUACAAACUGUAAAUUAAUUAGGACUUCCAUGCUUAAUAUCACACUUUAUUAUAUUAUUUGACACUAGUAAGUAUCAAGUCGACCUCUCGUCUCUACUUCUUCGAGAUUAGAUGGGAUACUUACUGGGUAAAUAUUGUUUAUGUACUCAUACUAUGCUUCUGUAUUUAAUUGUAAAGGAUAUGAGGCAGGUACAUCUAGAUAUCAGUCUGGUGCGCAUCCCUGAUUAGAGUCUGAGACUUCCACGGUGAGCUGCUCCCUUCUUGUGCCAUUCAACAGCUUGAUGGAGUCUCUCUUUAUUUUUGUUGUCUAUUCUAUUUCAGAUAGUAGGAUAGAUUUAUUCUUUUGUAUGUUCUACUAGUUGCCCACAACUUGUGACACCAGGUCUUGGCACACACAUUAGUAGACUAUUCUUUUUGGAAUUGUAUAACUAUUUUGGGAAUACAUUACGG
rnacentral:lncRNA from 1 species